rnacentral:rRNA from 1 species
AGUGAACGCUGGCGGUAGGCCUAACACAUGCAAGUCGAACGGCAGCACAGUAAGAGCUUGCUCUUACGGGUGGCGAGUGGCGGACGGGUGAGGAAUACAUCGGAAUCUACUUUUUCGUGGGGGAUAACGUGGGGAAACUUACGCUAAUACCGCAUACGACCUACGGGUGAAAGCAGGGGAUCUUCGGACCUUGCGCGAUUGAAUGAGCCGAUGUCGGAUUAGCUAGUUGGCGGGGUAAAGGCCCACCAAGGCGACGAUCCGUAGCUGGUCUGAGAGGAUGAUCAGCCACACUGGAACUGAGACACGGUCCAGACUCCUACGGGAGGCAGCAGUGGGGAAUAUUGGACAAUGGGCGCAAGCCUGACCCAGCAAUACCGCGUGAGUGAAGAAGGCCUUCGGGUUGUAAAGCCCUUUUGUUGGGAAAGAAAAGCAGCAUAUUAAUACCCCGCUGUUCUGACGGUACCCAAAGAAUAAGCACCGGCUAACUUCGUG